UCCAGACUCCUACGGGAGGCAGCAGUGAGGAAUAUUGGUCAAUGGGCGGAAGCCUGAACCAGCCAAGUCGCGUGAGGGAUUAAGGCCCUGCGGGUCGUAAACCUCUUUUGCCGGGGAGCAGAGGUCCGGACGUGUCCGGGCCGGGAGAGUACCCGGAGAAAAAGCAUCGGCUAACUCCGUGCCAGCAGCCGCGGUAAUACGGAGGAUGCGAGCGUUAUCCGGAUUUAUUGGGUUUAAAGGGUGCGUAGGCGGACGCUUAAGUCAGCGGUAAAAUUGCGGGGCUAAACCUCGGCGAGCCGUUGAAACUGGGUGCCUUGAGUGGGCGAGAAGUACGCGGAAUGCGUGGUGUAGCGGUGAAAUGCAUAGAUAUCACGCAGAACUCCGAUUGCGAAGGCAGCGUACCGGCGCCCAACUGACGCUGAAGCACGAAGGCGUGGGUAUCGAACAGGAUUAGAUACCCGUGUA
rnacentral:rRNA from 1 species